rnacentral:rRNA from 1 species
UACGUAGGCAGCGAGCGUUGUUCGGAGUUACUGGGCGUAAAGGGCGCGUAGGCGGCUUAUCAAGUCAGGCGUGAAAUUCCCGGGCUCAACCUGGGGGCUGCGCUUGAUACUGAUGAGCUUGAAUGCGGGAGAGGAUAGUGAAAUUCCCAGUGUAGAGGUGAAAUUCGUAGAUAUUGGGAAGAACACCGGUGGCGAAGGCGGCUAUCUGGCCCGUAAUUGACGCUGAGGCGCGAAAGCGUGGGGAGCAAACAGG